AGUAACACAAGCAUUUUACUGCACUGUUAGGAGCGAGUAACACAAGCAUUUUACUGCACUGUUAGGAGCUAGUAACACAAGCAUUUUACUGCACUGUUAGGAGCUAGUAACACAAGCAUUUUACUGCACUGUUAGGAGCUAGUAACACAAGCAUUUUACUGCACUGUUAGGAGCUAGUAACACAAGCAUUUUACUGCACCCGCUAUAACAUCUACAGACCAAUAAUCUUUCAUUUGAUUUUAGGGUAAAUCCCAGUGGAGAGAGAAAGGAAAAUAAUUGCUGACCAACUCAAAGGAGAAAAGAGAGAAAGAAAAGACAGAGAAAAUAGACAGAGAGGGGAGAAAAUCAGAUUAGCCAACAGUCUCUCUGAUUCCUGUGAUCUGUACUCGCUCUCUUAUCAGUUGAGAAAGUAUUUUUCUGCCCCUCUCUUGCUUAUAACCCUUUCUUCCUCCCUUGUUCCACUGAUCCCUCCAGUUAUCUGUCUGGCCCGUGAUUCCUAAUAUUGUUAUUUUUCAACGUAGGAGAACACCAGGUUGUGACAUCACUCUCUAGACAUCAAAACAUCUUUUACAUCUCUGUGACACGUAAGAGUUAUGACAUCCAUCCUCUAUUCCUCCUUCAUCCUCUGUUCCUUUCAUUCUCUAUCUGGGGUCUUGACCUUUCUCAGCAGGACCCAUCCCUAAACACUAUCAGAGCUGAACUGGCCCACCCAUCCCCGCCCUGUGUGAAGCUGUUCUCUCUCAACACUAUCUCCCACUGCUACAGACUCGUGGGUUUUGAAGAAAUAGGAAAGGCGGAUACUUAGUCAGUUGUACAACUGAAUGCCUAGGGUUAGGGCUCGGGUUAGGGCUAGGGCUAGGGGUAGGGUUGGAGCUAGGGUUAGGGCUCGGGCUAGGGGUAGGGUUGGAGCUAGGGUUAGGGCUCGGGUUAGGGCUAGGGUUGGAGCUAGGGUUAGGGCUCGGGUUAGGGCUAGGGCUAGGGGUAGGGUUGGAGCUAGGGUUAGGGCUCGGGUUAGGGCUAGGGGUAGGGUUGGAGCUAGGGUUAGGGCUCGGGUUAGGGCUAGGGGUAGGGUUGGAGCUAGGGUUAGGUUAAGGGUUUAAGCUAGGGUUAGAGUUGGGGUUGAGCUAGGGGUAGGGGUGGGGCUGGGGUUAUGGUUAAGGGUUAAGGGUUAGGUUUGGGGUCAGGGUUCAUCUAAAGGCUAGGGUUGGGGCUAAUAGUGUAAGUAAAGUUUCAUACCAAAAUGUGUUACUUACAGAAAUCUUUGUACAAUAACAAAAGCACUGUAAAUGUAGAUCUUUAUAUUAGUUAGUCUAACCAACCAGGGUUGUGAUCCUGUCUGUAACAUGGUGGGGAUGUCAGGGGCACCGUGUAAACUCUCCUCCAUCCCUGACUGCUGAUUAGACCACAGCGGCACAGCAGCUCUUUAAAUAAACACUCGCUCUCUCUCUCUCCCCGUCUCUCUCUCGCUCCCCCUCUCUCACUCUCUCCUUCUCCCCUCUCCCUCUCUCCACAUGCUCCAUCACUUCUCAGGUUAUCAGAGGAGCUCCAACCCCAAAGACCCCCAGAGUGCUACACACCGUCAACAGAGGGAACGAGAGAAGAGAUGUGGGUGCUUUGCAAGCACUGGGUAUAGUAGUGAAAAGGGAGAUAGAGGGAGGGGAGUGAGUGGAAGGGGCACAAGAACUCAAUGUAGUAGUUAAGAAAGGGAGGGGGAAAGAGGGAGGGUAGAGAGGGAGUGAGAGCGGGAGAGAAAGGCAUCCCUCUAAUUCCUCAAGAGGGGCUCUUGUAUCAAACAGAGAAAGAGUGAGAAUAGGAGAAGAGGAGGGGCGGACUGACGGUGGGAGGUACAGAAGUUUGGGAUAAUUCUAAGGAGCUGAGACCCAAAACGUUGAGGUUGGAGUAGUCAACUGCAGUCAGGGAGAGAACAACGGAUGAAAAAACAAAGCACACUGACUUAUCCCUGACGGACCGACGACGAGUGGAAACAGCAGGAGAUCACCACUACGGCUACAGAAGGCCAACAUACCAGCAUGCCACUACAAUACAAGCUGGUCCCAACUUCAUUGACAAGAGUGUGAAGGAAUCUGAACUGAUGCAUGAAGGACUAGAAGCGUGAGAACCUCAAGGGGAGAUUUGAGAGAAGACGGGAGAGAGAGAGAGAGAGAGAGAGAGAGAGAGAGAGAGAGAGAGAGAGAGAGAGAGAGAGAGAGAGAGAGAGAGAGAGAGAGAGAGAGAAGUUGUUAACGUUUGUGAACAUUGUCCACCUGCUUGUAUACGUGGUUAAGAGGAGAGAGAGUUUCAGUGUAACUUCCAAGAAGAGAAGAGAACCGCAAGGAUCAGAGAGAGGCUCUACCCGGCUCCACGCAAUGUGAGUGAGAAACCAGCCACAGAGAGGUUGAAUUAACUAAAACAUUCUUUUCAGAUGAUUUCUAAUCUAAUAUCUAUGAAAGAACGUUCACAAAAGCAUUUUAAAAUGACAAUUCUGGUUCUCAUGAUAAUUAAAGGCGUAGGUCACGUUUCAGACAGGCGUCACAUGUAUGCAACUGCCAGCCAAAAGACAAUAGAAUAAUAGAACAAAAGAGCUUCUCCUGAAUGUUCUAGAUGAGAAUGUCAGAAUCUUUGAAGGACCAGCUUGAAUGUAAUUCAGUGCUCUAGCAGUGACCACAAGCUAGAGAGGAAGCUCAUUUGAAGAUACUGUAGGUAAUUCAAUCAUUUCUAUAGCGUUAAGAUCAAGUGUCUCCAUGGUUAUGAAAAACAAUCAACCCCUCAUAAAAUGGAAAAAAGCAAGCCAAGUACAUUGUGUAAAACAGAUGGCCAAGGGUAGGCCAAGUAACGGCCAAGUAUAGGACCUUAGGUCACAAUGAGUGAGCUAGUUGGACUCUUCCUGCACCCCCGACCUUAGACCUGAACGACAACACUUCACUAACAAUGGGAGGUUGACGCAGAACACUGUUGAGAUAGCGACGUCUGGCAGGGACACAUCUCAAGUGGACCUCUUCCGUAGCGUGGUUGGGGUCAGGGUUAGCGGUCGGAUGAGGUAUGCGGGUGAUGUGUGUUUGUCGGGUAAAAGUAAGAAGGGGUGGUUAAAAGAAGAUGAGUACCCACGUAUACCCUAUGUCUAUGGCCAGGAGUUUAUCAUGGUCAGGAAAAACUCAUUCAGAUUCCGAGUGUUUAAUAUUCACAUGUACAGGGUUACAGGUGUGAUUGCAGGGUACAGUGUUUAAUAGUCACAUGUACAGGGUUACAGGUGUGAUUGUAGGGUACAGUGUUUAAUAGUCACGUGUACAGGGUUACAGGUGUGACUGUAGGGUACAGUGUUUAAUAGUCACAUGUACAGGGUUACAGGUGUGAUUGUAGGGUACAGUGUUUAAUAGUCACAUGUACAGGGUUGCAGGUGUGAUUGCAGGGUACAGUGUUUAAUAGUCACAUGUACAGGGUUGCAGGUGUGAUUGUAGGGUACAGUGUUUAAUAGUCACAUGUACAGGGUUACAGGUGUGAUUGUAGGGUACAGUGUUUAAUAGUCACAUGUACAGGGUUGCAGGUGUGAUUGUAGGGUACAGUGUUUAAUAGUCACAUGUACAGGGUUGCAGGUGUGAUUGCAGGGUACAGUGUUUAAUAGUCACAUGUACAGGGUUGCAGGUGUGAUUGUAGGGUACAGUGUUUAAUAGUCACAUGUACAGGGUUGCAGGUGUGAUUGCAGGGUACAGUGUUUAAUAGUCACAUGUACAGGGUUACAGGUGUGAUUGUAGGGUACAGUGUUUAAUAGUCACAUGUACAGGGUUGCAGGUGUGAUUGCAGGGUACAGUGUUUAAUAGUCACAUGUACAGGGUUGCAGGUGUGAUUGUAGGGUACAGUGUUUAAUAGUCACAUGUACAGGGUUACAGGUGUGAUUGUAGGGUACAGUGUUUAAUAGUCACGUGUACAGGGUUACAGGUGUGAUUGUAGGGUACAGUGUUUAAUAGUCACAUGUACAGGGUUACAGGUGUGAUGGCAGGGUACAGUGUUUAAUAGUCACAUGUACAGGGUUACAGGUGUGACUGUAGGGUACAGUGUUUAAUAGUCACAUGUACAGGGUUGCAGGUGUGACUGUAGGGUACAGUGUUUAAUAGUCACAUGUACAGGGUUGCAGGUGUGAUUGCAGGGUACAGUGAAAAUCUUGGGCUUCGAGCUCCAACAUGCAGGACUAGUGAAAUAAAAUGAUGAAAAUGGUAAUAAAAAAACUAUUGAAAUAGCACUAUAUACAUAAUAACAACUGUGUCAGUGAUGAAUAAAUACAUGUCCAUUGGGGUGGAAGCUAAGUAAAGACUAUUGAGGGGGUGGGUGGAAUGAUCAUAGGGGGAGCAGCAGCAUGAUCAUGGCCCUACCAAUACCUAAUAUGUGGGUGGUUUUGUAUCCUGCACCUGUGGAAGUGCUAGAUGUGCCAGUACUAAAAGUACUAAGGGGAGGAAGAAGAACAAUACCCAUACAAACACUGCCUUAAUUCUCAAGAGUGUACUUACAUAGCACCAAAACGUUUGUGGGUAUUCUUCUCUUUGCUAUGGCAUUCGUUUUACCCUGCACUUGUGGGAUAUUGCUCAAUACACUUUUACACAACCUCUGAACUAACAUUGUUAAGUUCUAGACCUUGGCCUUUCUGGUCUGUCCUGAUAGAUUUAUCACUUUGGUGCAGAGCGGUACAGAGCGGUGCUGAGGGCAGGGGUAUUUCUGGGAGGAAGGCUGGCAACUGACCCUGGUCCAUUGUUCAGGCCGUCUUGGGCAACGCUUAGUAAGGGGGGGGGUAGGUUGCUAUCCUGUCACUGUUAAUGGAACAUGUCAGUUAUGAGUUGUUACUUAUCGCUGAUUCAGGGAAACUUUCAACUUGGUUUGCGCUGAUUUGGAGUUGUUUUUAACAUACUGGAAGAAUCAAACAACACUUUUACAGUGUCUUGAACAUAAGGCCAUGACAUGACUUGUAUGUUUUCUAUUUCUGACAAGACAUGAACUGCAGUCUUCAACCAGUGCCAAGAUAAACAAAUGCAUUCAGGCACGUGCACAAGCAUACACAGACGCACGCACACACGCACACACACACACACACACACACACACAAACACACACACACACACACACACACACACACACACACACACACACACACACACAAACACACACACACACACACACACACACACACACACACACACACACACACACACA